UGCAAGUCGAGUGCGCGGUUGUAGCAAUACAACUGGCGCACGGCGCACGGGUGCGUAACACGUGGGCAAUCUGCCCUUCGAUGGGGAAUAACUCCGGGAAACCGAAGCUAAUUCCGCAUAACAUUCCUUGGACUUCGGUUCGAGGACUCAAAGCCAUAAGGCGUCGAAGGAGGAGCCCGCGCCCGAUUAGCUAGUUGGUGGGGUAACGGCCCACCAAGGCAAUGAUCGGUAGCUGGCCUGAGAGGAUGGCCAGCCACACUGGAACUGAGACACGGUCCAGACUCCUACGGGAGGCAGCAGUGGGGAAUCUUGCACAAUGGGCGAAAGCCUGAUGCAGCGACGCCGCGUGGGGGAUGAAGCAUCUCGGUGUGUAAACCCCUUUCGACCCGGAAGAAUGCCUCGCAAGAGGACUGACGGUACGGGUAUAAGAAGCCCCGGCUAACUACGUGCCAGCAGCCGCGGUAAGACGUAGGGGGCCAGCGUUGUUCGGAAUUACUGGGUGUAAAGGGUUCGUAGGCGGUGCGGCAAGUCGGGAGUGAAAUCUCUGGGCUCAACCCAGAGGCUGCUUCCGAAACUGCCGUGCUUGAGUGUGGGAGAGGCGCGUGGAAUUGCAGGUGUAGCGGUGAAAUGCGUAGAUAUCUGCAGGAACACCCGUGGCGAAAGCGGCGCGCUGGACCACUACUGACGCUGAGGAACGAAAGCUAGGGGAGCAAACAGGAUUAGAUACCCUGGUAGUCCUAGCCCUAAACGAUCAGGACUUGGGGUGCCACCCGUUCGGGUGUCGUCCCGGAGCUAACGCGUUAAGUCCUGCACCUGGGGAGUACGGUCGCAAGACUGAAACUCAAAGGAAUUGACGGGGGCCCGCACAAGCGGUGGAACAUGUGGUUCAAUUCACGCUACGCGAGGAACCUUACCUGGGCUCGAAAUGCUGGUGA
rnacentral:rRNA from 1 species